CGGAGUAUAGCGCAGUCUGGUAGCGCGCUACGUUCGGGACGUAGAGGCCGCAGGUUCGAAUCCUGCUACUCCGACCA
rnacentral:tRNA from 1 species